rnacentral:rRNA from 1 species
GACGAACGCUGGCGGCGUGCCUAACACAUGCAAGUCGAACGGAAAGGCCCUGCUUUUGUGCGGUGCGCGAGUGGCGAAGGGGUGAGUAACACGUGAGUAACCUGCCCUUGACUUUGGGAUAACUUCAGGAAACUGGGGCUAAUACCGGAUAGGAGCUCCUGCUGCAUGGUGGGGGUUGGAAAGUUUCGGCGGUUGGGGAUGGACUCGCGGCUGAUCAGCUUGUUGGUUGGGUAGUGGCUUACCAAGGUUUUGACGGGUAGCCGGCCUGAGAGGGUGACCGGCCACCCUGGGACGGGGAUACGGCCCAGACUCCUCCGGGAGGCAGCGGUGGGGAAGAUAGCAUAGGGGGCGGAGGCCUGAUGCAGCAACGCCGCGUGGGGUAUGACGGCCUUGGGGUUGUGAACCGCUUUCGCCUGUGACGAGGCGUGAAUGACGGUAAUGGGUAAAGAAGCACCGGCUAACUACGUG